rnacentral:rRNA from 1 species
UACGGGGGGAGCAAGCGUUGUUCGGAUUUACUGGGCGUAAAGGGCGCGUAGGCGGCCAGCACAGGUCAGUUGUGAAAUCUCCGAGCUUAACUCGGAAAGGUCAACUGAUACUGUGCGGCUAGAGUGCGGAAGGGGGCAACUGGAAUUCUUGGUGUAGCGGUGAAAUGCGUAGAUAUCAAGAGGAACACCUGCGGCGAAGGCGGGUUGCUGGGCCGACACUGACGCUGAUGCGCGAAAGCUAGGGGAGCGAACGGG